AGUCCGAUGCCACGUCGCCGGUAGUUCAUAUUGGACGGUGACCGGCGAUGCUAUGAUUGGACUGAAAGCAAGUUUCAUGUUUCGUUUCUUGAUAGGAAUCUGUAGACCGUUUAAACCGUUGAUCUACGGAGCCGAUUUGGGCGAUUACAUUU